rnacentral:rRNA from 1 species
AUUGAACGCUGGCGGCAGGCCUAACACAUGCAAGUCGAGCGGAUGAAGGGAGCUUGCUCCUGGAUUCAGCGGCGGACGGGUGAGUAAUGCCUAGGAAUCUGCCUGGUAGUGGGGGAUAACGUCCGGAAACGGGCGCUAAUACCGCAUACGUCCUGAGGGAGAAAGUGGGGGAUCUUCGGACCUCACGCUAUCAGAUAAGCCUAGGUCGGAUUAGCUAGUUGGUGGGGUAAAGGCCUACCAAGGCGACGAUCCGUAACUGGUCUGAGAGGAUGAUCAGUCACACUGGAACUGAGACACGGUCCAGACUCCUACGGGAGGCAGCAGUGGGGAAUAUUGGACAAUGGGCGAAAGCCUGAUCCAGCCAUGCCGCGUGUGUGAAGAAGGUCCUCGGAUUGUAAAGCACUUUAAGUUGGGAGGAAGGGCAGUAAGUUAAUACCUUGCUGUUUUGACGUUACCAACAGAAUAAGCACCGGCUAACUUCGUG